CACGUAGGCGGUGAAUCGGGUUGAAAGUGAAAGUCGCCAAAAAGUGGUGGAAUGCUCUCGAAACCAAUUCACUUGAGUGAGACAGAGGAGAGUGGAAUUUCGUGUGUAGGGGUGAAAUCCGAAGAUCUACGAAGGAAGGCCAAAAAGCGAAGGCAGCUCUCUGGGUCCCUACCGACGCUGGAGUGCGAAAGCAUGGGGAGCAACG
rnacentral:rRNA from 1 species